CCUAAAUGUAAUCAUUUUACUACAGGACAUCACAGACCAAGAAGAUAAUCCUAAAACACCAUUGCCUUCACCUGGACAAUUAGCAAGAAUGCCACCGCUUCCAACAACGACAAAUAUACCUAGCAAGCGGCCAGGUCAUCUUGAAGAUCCAACUUUAUCAGACUCUAAAAUUACAGCAUGGUAACCAUAAAUUCUAAACAACUUUUCCACAUAUUACUCUCAUAUAUACUUGAUAAUAUUCUAAUUAUUUUUCUCCCCCUUAUACAGUGUACCUGGUAUUCCCAGAGGUGAGAGUUCUACUAAAAGAAGACUCCUAAAAGAGUAACUUCUAUCGAUCAUCUCAAAAAUAUGUUAAAUAUCUAUGAUGUAUAUAUUGUCGUCUUUUUUCUUUUUAAUCAGAAUACUGUCUAAUGUUGCAUCAAACUCAUAUUUUGUCCAGCUAUAAUAUCAAACUAACUAUUCCCUGUACUAUAUCUAAAUCUCAACUUUAUAUUAUAUACACUCCUCACAAAAACUUCGAACACCAUGACAUCGAUGUUUUUUGACUCCUGUAUCAUUGUCCUCUUUAUCUGAAGUACUUAGCAAAAGAUUAUUAAAGCAUUCAGUAUCUUCUCUUCACAUCAGAUUGCACCAAGAACAAUUUUCUCCAAAUAAGAAGAUCUUGCAUUUCUGUACAAAUCCUUAUUGUCCAGGAUCUUGCUCUGGUGUGAAACAAUUUUGUUGCUAAUUCUCCUACACAUGUUGCCUACUAUUUGCUGAUAUAGCUAAAAUAUGUUCAGGUGCUCACAUAUACCCAACAUCUCAAUUUGGUACAGCCAGUACGGAGCUAAACAUUUAUUCUCCAUUUGUUUCUGUGUUCCUGUUACUUAGUGUUGUGUAUGGUUUUGUUUCAACCUAUACACUCCUCACAGAAACUUCAAACACCAUGAUAUUGAUGUUUUUGACUCCUGUAUCAUUGUCCUCUUUAUCUGAAGUACUUAGCAAAAGAUCAUUAAAGCAUUCAGUACCUUCUCUUCACAUCAGAUUGCACGAGGAACAAUUUUCUCCAAACGAGAAGAUCUUGCAUUUGUGUAAAAAUCCUUAUUGUCCAGGAUGUUGCUCUGGUGUGAAACUAUUUUGUUGCUAAUUCUCCUGCACAUGUUGCCUACUAUUUGCUGAUAUAGCUGAAAUAUGUUCAAGUGCUCACAUAUACCCAACAUCUCAAUUUGGUACAGCCAGCACGAGGCUAAUCAUUUAUUCUC